rnacentral:rRNA from 1 species
GACGAACGCUGGCGGCGCGCCUAACACAUGCAAGUCGAACGAGCGAGCGAGAGCUUGCUUUCUUGAGCGAGUGGCGAACGGGUGAGUAACGCGUGAGGAACCUGCCUCAAAGAGGGGGACAACAGUUGGAAACGACUGCUAAUACCGCAUAAGCCCACGGUGCCGCAUGGCACAAAGGGAAAAGGAGCAAUCCGCUUUGAGAUGGCCUCGCGUCCGAUUAGCUAGUUGGUGAGGUAACGGCCCACCAAGGCGACGAUCGGUAGCCGGACUGAGAGGUUGAACGGCCACAUUGGGACUGAGACACGGCCCAGACUCCUACGGGAGGCAGCAGUGGGGAAUAUUGCACAAUGGGGGAAACCCUGAUGCAGCGACGCCGCGUGGAGGAAGAAGGUCUUCGGAUUGUAAACUCCUGUUGUUGGGGAAGAUAAUGACGGUACCCAACAAGGAAGUGACGGCUAACUACGUG